rnacentral:misc_RNA from 1 species
GGUUGGUAUUGGUCCCCCAUCUCAAUGUAUCUAUGAUCAGAUGAAUACCCAAUUUGGUUAUAAAAUGUUUUUGCCCUGUGUUGAUUUGGGUACUCCUCCACUACCUCACCUUGUGUGAGCAAAGCAAUCUCACUUGAAACUCCAACAACCUCUUGUAAUGAGUUCCAAUUUUCAUAUGCUUGUCUAAUCAAAUUGUGAAUGAAGCCCCUAUUAAUUCUGGGAAGAUCCCUAGUAGAGUAUGUUUGCCUAUUAAUAGUGGCGGCAACAACUUGACAUAUAGGGUUCAAUGUGACACUAAAAUUCUCUCCAUGAAAAACGUAAUGUUUUUUUCCCAGAUCACACGUCUUUGCGUGCUUUAUUGUUGCUUCCCAUAUUUUCUCAGACAUUCCAGGACCUAAAAUCCUCCUAAGCUUUUGUUGGUUGACAAUGAACAAUUUCAAUAAUUCUUGCACCGAGUUAAUGCCUUCAGCAGCUAGCUUUUUGUGGAAAGCUCCAUCUUUCCCAAUCUUC